AAAAAUUUAGUUAAAAUAUAACAUUAGUUUGUCAAACUAAAAUUAUUAAUAAUUAUUAAUUUUUA
rnacentral:tRNA from 1 species